UGGCUCAGCGGUGGAGCACCUCCUUGCCAAGGAGGGGGUCGCGGGUGCGAUCCCCGU
rnacentral:tRNA from 1 species